rnacentral:lncRNA from 1 species
UUUUUCUUGUUUUCUCUUAUUUUUUUUCUUGUUUUAUAUUUCAAUUAGGGUAAUUAGAUUGUUAGCUUAAUUAGGAAAAGAAAACUAGUAGUAAAUCUUGAUUUUUAGGAUUUAAGUAGCAUACUAGAAUUUCCCUUAGAUUUUAAUUAGGAUUUUCAUUAUAAUUUAAGUAGGACAUUAAUUAGGAAUUGAAUUAAAUUCUAAUUAGGUUCUUGAUUGAAUUUAG